UGCAUGUGUCUUAUUGCUUUAUAUAUUGAGUUCAGUUAUUCAUGAGUUGAACAGAGCCAAGGUAAGUGUUCUCUUGUACUCUUUUCAAGCUUAAGUUGUGGUUUAGCUUUCCAGCUCGCAUACUCGUACAUUCCAUGUACUGAUGCCAGUUGGCCUGCAUCUUAUGACGAUGCAGACACAGGUACCCCGGAUCAGCAUCCUGCACGCCGUUGAUCCAGCUGAGCACUCUAGAGUCAGUGG
rnacentral:lncRNA from 1 species